rnacentral:rRNA from 1 species
GACGAACGCUGGCGGCGUGCUUAACACAUGCAAGUCGAACGAUGAACCGGGUGCUUGCACCUGGGGAUUAGUGGCGAACGGGUGAGUAACACGUGAGUAACCUGCCCUGGACCCUGGGAUAACCCCGAGAAAUCGGAGCUAAUACCGGAUAGGACCUUUCCCCGCAUGGGGUUGGGUGGAAAGUUUUUUCGGUUUGGGAUGGACUCGCGGCCUAUCAGCUUGUUGGUGAGGUAAUGGCUCACCAAGGCGUCGACGGGUAGCCGGCCUGAGAGGGUGACCGGCCACACUGGGACUGAGACACGGCCCAGACUCCUACGGGAGGCAGCAGUGGGGAAUAUUGCACAAUGGGCGCAAGCCUGAUGCAGCAACGCCGCGUGCGGGAUGACGGCCUUCGGGUUGUAAACCGCUUUUAGUAGGGAAGAAGCCUUCGGGUGACGGUACCUGCAGAAAAAGGACCGGCUAACUACGUGCCAGCCGCCGCGGUAAAAC